rnacentral:rRNA from 1 species
UACGUAGGGUGCGAGCGUUAAUCGGAAUUACUGGGCGUAAAGCGUGCGCAGGCGGUUCGUUGUGUCGGUGGUGAAAUCCCCGGGCUUAACCUGGGAAUGGCCAUGGAAACUGGCGAACUGGAGUGCGGCAGAGGGGGGUGGAAUUCCGCGUGUAGCAGUGAAAUGCGUAGAGAUGCGGAGGAACACCGAUGGCGAAGGCAGCCCCCUGGGCUAGCACUGACGCUCAGGCACGAAAGCGUGGGGAGCAAAAGGG